GUGGUCAAGUUUUUAAGGGCGCACGGUGGAUGCCUUGGCACCAGGAACCGAUGAAGGCCGUAGUAAUCUGCGAUAAGCCUCGGGGAGUCGAUAAACGGGCUGAUCCGAGGGUUGCCGAAUGGGGGAACCCGGCUGGAGUUAUGUCCAGUCACCUGCACCUGAAUGUAUAGGGUGUGUGGAGGGAACGCGGGGAAGUGAAACAUCUCAGUACCCGCAGGAAGAGAAAACAAUAGUGAUUCCGUGAGUAGUGGCGAGCGAAAGCGGAUCAGGCUAAACCUGCGUUGUGUGAUACCUGUCAGGGGUUGCGGCGUGGGGGUUGUGGGAUGCGUUGUAUUGCAGCUGACACUGUGGUGGGUAGUGAUAAAUCGCGCGUGUAGUCGAAGCAUCUUGAAUGGUGCACCGUAGAGGGUGGUGGUCCCGUAGACGAAACAUGUGUGACUGCCUGGACGUUUUUUCCCAAGUAGCACGGGGCUCGAGGAAUCUCGUGUGAAUCUGGCAGGACCACCUGCUAAGCCUAAAUAUUCCCUGGUGACCGAUAGCGGACUAGUACCGUGAGGGAAAGGUGAAAAGUACCCCGGGAGGGGAGUGAAAUAGUACCUGAAACCGUGUGCUUACAAUCCGUCAGGGCCUGCCCCGUUGGGGGUUGGGUGAUGGCGUGCCUUUUGAAGAAUGAGCCUGCGAGUUAGUGCUCAGUGGCGAGGUUAACCCGUGUGGGGAAGCCGUAGCGAAAGCGAGUCCGAAGAGGGCGUUCAUAGUCGCUGGGUCUAGACCCGAAGCGGAGUGAUCUACCCAUGGCCAGGUUGAAGCGCCGGUAAGACGGUGUGGAGGACCGAACCCACUUCAGUUGAAAAUGGAGGGGAUGAGCUGUGGGUAGGGGUGAAAGGCCAAUCAAACUCCGUGAUAGCUGGUUCUCCCCGAAAUGCAUUUAGGUGCAGCGUCACGUGUUUCUUGCCGGAGGUAGAGCUACUGGAUGGCUGAUGGGCCUCACCAGGUUACUGACGUCAGCCAAACUCCGAAUGCCGGUAAGUGAGAGCGUGGCAGUGAGACGGCGGGGGAUAAGCUUCGUCGUCGAGAGGGAAACAGCCCAGAUCACCAGCUAAGGUCCCUAAGCGUGUGCUAAGUGGGAAAGGAUGUGGAGUUGCUGUGACAACCAGGAGGUUGGCUUAGAAGCAGCCACCCUUUAAAGAGUGCGUAAUAGCUCACUGGUCAAGUGAUUCCGCGCCGACAAUGUAGCGGGGCUCAAGCACACCACCGAAGCUGUGGCAAUCACACAUUUCCCCAGCCGUCACUCGAUGAUGGUUCAGGGGUGUGGUUGGGUAGGGGAGCGUCGUGUCACCAGUGAAGUCCCGGUGUGAACCAGGGGUGGAGGUGACACGAGUGAGAAUGCAGGCAUGAGUAGCGAAUGACGGGUGAGAAACCCGUCCGCCGAAUAACCAAGGGUUCCAGGGUCAAGCUCAUCUGCCCUGGGUAAGUCGGGACCUAAGGCGAGGCCGACAGGCGUAGUCGAUGGACAUCCGGUUGAUAUUCCGGAACCGGCGAAGGACCGCCCAUAUCGAGGCGAGGGAUGCUAACCACCCAAACCAGUCACGUUCUGUCACCUUCGGGUGGUGGUGUGGUUGGGGAGCGUGGGACCCGAUCUCGUAGUAGGUAAGCAAGGGAGUGACGCAGGAAGGUAGCCUCCGCGUGGCGAUGGUUGUCCACGUCUAAGAGCGCAGCCCGAUCGGUAGGCAAAUCCGCCGAUCAUGAGGGUGAGGCUUGAUAGUGACCACGAAUGUGGGAAGUAGGGUGAUCCUAUGCUGCCUAGAAAAACUUCUAGCGAGGUCCGAGCCGCCCGUACCCUAAACCGACUCAGGUGGUUAGGUAGAGAAUACUAAGGCGAUCGAGUGAAUCGUGGUUAAGGAAUUCGGCAAAAUGCCCCCGUAACUUCGGGAGAAGGGGGGCCCCAACCCUGAAGCUAUUUACUAGCUAGGGGGGAGGGCCGCAGAGACCAGGGAGAAGCGACUGUUUACUAAAAACACAGGUCCGUGCGAAGAAGUAAUUCGAUGUAUACGGACUGACGCCUGCCCGGUGCUGGAACGUUAAGGGGACCGGUUAACACGUAAGUGUGAAGCUGAGAACUUAAGCGCCAGUAAACGGCGGUGGUAACUAUAACCAUCCUAAGGUAGCGAAAUUCCUUGUCGGGUAAGUUCCGACCUGCACGAAUGGCGUAACGACUUCUCCACUGUCUCAACCGCGAACUCGGCGAAAUUGCACUACGAGUAAAGAUGCUCGUUACGCGCAGCAGGACGGAAAGACCCCGGGACCUUUACUAUAGCUUGGUAUUGGUGUUCGGUACGGCUUGUGUAGGAUAGGUGGGAGACUAUGAAGCCGCCACGCUAGUGGUGGUGGAGUCAACGUUGAAAUACCACUCUGGUCGUUCUGGGCUCCUCACCUCGGACCAUGAUCUGGUUCAGGGACAGUGCCUGGUGGGUAGUUUAACUGGGGCGGUUGCCUCCCAAAGAGUAACGGAGGCGCCCAAAGGUUCCCUCAGCCUGGUUGGCAAUCAGGUGUUGAGUGUAAGUGCACAAGGGAGCUUGACUGUGAGACAGACAUGUCGAGCAGACACGAAAGUGGGGACUAGUGACCCGACGGUGGCUUGUGGAAGCGCCGUCGCUCAACGGAUAAAAGGUACCCCGGGGAUAACAGGCUGAUCUUGCCCAAGAGCUCAUAUCGACGGCAUGGUUUGGCACCUCGAUGUCGGCUCGUCGCAUCCUGGGGCUGGAGUAGGUCCCAAGGGUUGGGCUGUUCGCCCAUUAAAGCGGUACGCGAGCUGGGUUUAGAACGUCGUGAGACAGUUCGGUCCCUAUCCGCUGCGCGCGUAGGAAACUUGAGGAGACCUGUCCCUAGUACGAGAGGACCGGGAUGGACGAACCUCUGGUGUGUCAGUUGUCCCGCCAGGGGCACCGCUGAUUAGCUACGUUCGGAAGUGAUAACCGCUGAAAGCAUCUAAGCGGGAAGCACGCUCCAAGAUCAGGUUUCCAUCACCAACACGGUGUGAAGGCUCCCAGCUAGACGACUGGGUUGAUAGGCCGGACGUGGAAGCACAGCAAUGUGUGGAGCUGACCGGUACUAAUAAGCCAACAACUUGACCAC
rnacentral:rRNA from 1 species